UAUCACCACUUGGCAAUAUUUUAGAAUAAAAGCCCAUCAUUAUCUAUUGCUUAUUGCUAUAAUCCUUGCCAGCUCACCUGCUUUUUUCCAUAUUUUCCUAUUCUGUUCUCAUCUGUCACUGCUGGUGCUGUCACUUCUCUUAGAUUCCUUGCCUGCUAAAUCCAACCUAGAACACACCAUCUAGCAGAAGGACAUCCAAGCCAGUUCUGGAAAUUUGUGACUGCCUUCUGCCUGAUGCCUUUUGAUUUUUCUUCCUCCUGAUAUUUCCCUUGUUUCUUCCCUCUGUUAGUUUUGUGCAGCUAUGUUAGAGUUCUGUUAACCAGGAAAGGCUAUUACUUAGUCCAAAGAUAACAUUCUCCUGACUCUAGAUAUAGAACAUCUGACAUUGACUUAAAACAUCUGCUUAUUCAGAAAUGUAUAAGCUCUUGAAAAAGCCUACAGUCUGAAAUGGUUUUCACAAAUAAGCAGCCUGCUUUUGAAAUGCUGGCUCUCCCGGCAGCUACAUACCUGACUCACUGGUGGCUGGGAUUCAACUGCCACCAUACCAUCAGGUCUCAUAAAGCACCUCUGUGUUGCCUCCUCUCUCCUCUGUGGCCAACCAAGAGGUAGCAAAUGAGGUUACAGACUAAUAUGAUACCUAAUUCAUGCUUUCCAAUAACCUUAUAGAUAUUACUGCAUUUAUGUUCUUCUCAAGAAAUCAGUUGUUCCCUAUUCAAUGUUAUAGAUUUUUGUAAUUUUAAAACUUAAGGGACAGCUGAGGAAAGUGAGGCAAAGUAUUUUAUUUCUAACAAAAUUAAAUUUUAGAAAAAAAUGUGUGUACAUAUUUGAAACUGUUGAAAUGCCAAGUUUUCUGUAUAAAUGUUUUUGUAAUGAAACUUUUAUAUUUUUUUUGUUUUUUAAGACGUCAAUAUGCUUGCUUGACAUCUGCCUUAUUAAAAUUUUUAUGUUGAAUCAAUCCUAUUUAAUUUUAUCUGCAUUUUAAUGAAAAGACUCCUACCUCUGCCUUUUCAUCUUAAAGAUUGUCAACCCUACAUUAAUUAAUAAGUCUGUUAUGAUUUCAAAACAGUAACACAUUCAUUUUACUAAUUUCUUAUUCAAAUGUAUCUUAGCCUGUUUGAAAGUUCAGCUCUUUUAAAGCAUGUUAUAAUAAUACAAUGAAUGGUAAUUCAUUUUAAUAUAGCAGUAGUAUUAAGGAGGCAACUUAAAAGAGGUCUGAUUUUUCUUUGUUUUUGUUGUUGUUGUUGUUGUUAAUCCUUAUCUGAAGAUAUUUUUCCAUUGAUAUUUAGAGAGAGUGGAAGGGAAGAAAGGGGAGAGGGAAGAAAAGAGAGAGAGGUGAGAGAGGGGGAAGGGUGAGAGAGAGAGAUUGGUUGGUUACAUACCACAAUGCAUCCCAACUGGCCCAAGUAUUGAACCUGCAACUCAGGUAUGUGCCCUUGACUGGAAUUUGAACCCUAGACUCUUCUGUCCACAGACUGACACUCUUAACCACUGACCAACACCUGCCAGGGUAGAAGUCUGGCAGUGUGGCUUAGUUGGUUGGAGCAUUGUCAUCUGAGUGUCAUAUUCUGUACACUGAGAGAUGGAGGGUUCGAUCCCCAGUAAGAGGUGCAUUGGGGAAGCAGUCCUGACUGACCCAGGAUUGAACUUGCCACCUGGGUAUGUGUCCUGACUGGGAAUGGAACCUAUGACCUUUCAGUGUAUAGGACAACGUUCCAAUCAACUGAGCCACAGGGCCAGGGUGCCACCAUGCUUUUAAAAUCCUAGGGUGAGGUAAUCUGGCUUCCACAGCCUAAUGUCCAAGAAGACAGUUGUGUGGCAUUGGACAAGAUUUGCUUUGUUCCAACUCUAAUUUCCUCUCUCUCUCUUUUUUUUUUUGGUGGGGGGGGGUGGGGGGGUGUUAGCUUGUUUUUGUGUUUUUUAUUAAUCCUCAUCCAAGGAUAUAUUUUCCCAUUGAUUUUUAGAGAAAGUGGAAGGUAGGGAGAGAGACAUUGAUUGAUUGCCUCCUGCACGUGCUCCGACUCAGCCUGGGAAUUGAGUCUGCAAUCCAGGAGCAUGCGCCCUUGACCAAGAUUCUAACCCAUGACCCUUCCGUUUGCAGGCCAGCACUCUAAUCAUAGGCUACACUGGCCUGGGCUCGUUUUCUCUUCUGACAACCCAAAUCAGCAAAAGGUUAAACAAGAAAUGUAUCUCUCGGAAAAGUAUUCCAGAGGUUGGUAAUUCAAGAUCAGUAUAGAGCUCCUCUGCCCCAUAACAUGGUUCCAUUUUCAAGGUCACCUCAUGGUCCAAAAUAGCCACUUGUCAUUCAUCAGUCAUCAUUUGAAAUUCUUGGCAGCAUAAUGAAGAGGGCAAGGGCAAAAUGGACAAAUCUAGCUGAGUCAGCACACUGUAAAGUCUUUCUGGAAAUCACAUUCACCCCUUCCAGAACUGUCACAUGACUAACAGCUAGCUGUUGAUGGGAAAAAAGACAUUUUGGGGUCUAGCAAUCUGAAUCUAGUCACUGCCUUUUUAAUUGUCUGGUCCUGCAAGACCUGUUUACUCCCAUUUUAGAGAGGUGGUAAACCAUCCCCAGGAAAAGACCCAGCACAUAGGGCUCUUUAAGAACUUGCAAAGG